GACGAACGCUGGCGGCGUGCUUAACACAUGCAAGUCGAACGGAAAGGCCCUGCUUUUGUGGGGUGCUCGAGUGGCGAACGGGUGAGUAACACAUGAGUAACCUGCCCUUGACUUUGGGAUAACUUCAGGAAACUGGGGCUAAUACCGGAUAGGAGCUCCUGCUGCAUGGUGGGGGUUGGAAAGUUUCGGCGGUUGGGGAUGGACUCGCGGCUUAUCAGCUUGUUGGUGGGGUAGUGGCUUACCAAGGCUUUGACGGGUAGCCGGCCUGAGAGGGUGACCGGCCACAUUGGGACUGAGAUACGGCCCAGACUCCUACGGGAGGCAGCGGUGGGGAAUAUUGCACAAUGGGCGGAAGCCUGAUGCAGCAACGCCGCGUGCGGGAUGACGGCCUUCGGGUUGUAAACCGCUUUCGCCUGUGACGAAGCGUGAGUGACGGUAAUGGGUAAAGAAGCACCGGCUAACUACGUG
rnacentral:rRNA from 1 species